rnacentral:rRNA from 1 species
AGUGAACGCUGGCGGUAGGCCUAACACAUGCAAGUCGAACGGCCGCACAGUAAGAGCUUGCUCUUACGGGUGGCGAGUGGCGGACGGGUGAGGCAUACAUCGGAAUCUACUUUUUCGUGGGGGAUAACGUAGGGAAACUUACGCUAAUACCGCAUACGACCUACGGGAGAGAGCAGGGGUUCUUCGGACCUUGCGCGAUUGAAUUAGCCGAUGUCGGAUUAGCUAGUUGGCGGGGUAAAGGCCCACCAAGGCGACGAUCCGUAGCUGGCCUGAGAGGAUGAUCAGCCACACUGGAACUGAGACACGGUCCAGACUCCUACGGGAGGCAGCAGUGGGGAAUAUUGGACAAUGGGCGCAAGCCUGAUCCAGCCAUACCGCGUGGGUGAAGAAGGCCUUCGGGUUGUAAAGCCCUUUUGUUGGGAAAGAAAAGCAGCAGGUUAAUACCCCGCUGUUCUGACGGUACCCAAAGAAUAAGCACCGGCUAACUUCGUG